UCCAGACUCCUACGGGAGGCAGCAGUGGGGGAUAUUGCACAAUGGGGGGAACCCUGAUGCAGCGACGCCGCGUGGGUGAAGGAGCGUUUCGGCGCGUAAAGCCCUAUCGGCAGGGAAGAAGGAGGACGGUACCUGACUAAGAAGCCCCGGAUAACUACGUGCCAGCAGCCGCGGUAAUACGUAGGGGGCAAGCGUUAUCCGGAUUUACUGGGUGUAAAGGGGGCGCAGACGGCAGCGCAAGCCAGGAGUGAAAGCCCGGGGCCCAACCCCGGGACUGCUCUUGGAACUGCGCGGCUGGAGUGCAGGAGGGGCAGGCGGAAUUCCUGGUGUAGCGGUGAAAUGCGUAGAUAUCAGGAGGAACACCGGUGGCGAAGGCGGCCUGCUGGACUGCGACUGACGUUGAGGCCCGAAAGCGUGGGGAGCAAACAGGAUUAGAUACCCUCGUA
rnacentral:rRNA from 1 species